GACGAACGCUGGCGGCGUGCCUAAUACAUGCAAGUAGAACGCACAGGAUGCACCGUAGUUUACUACACCGUAUUCUGUGAGUUGCGAACGGGUGAGUAACGCGUAGGUAACCUGCCUGGUAGCGGGGGAUAACUAUUGGAAACGAUAGCUAAUACCGCAUAAGAACAUUUACUGCAUGGUAGAUGUUUAAAAGGUGCAAAUGCAUCACUACCAGAUGGACCUGCGUUGUAUUAGCUAGUAGGUGAGGUAACGGCUCACCUAGGCGACGAUACAUAGCCGACCUGAGAGGGUGAUCGGCCACACUGGGACUGAGACACGGCCCAGACUCCUACGGGAGGCAGCAGUAGGGAAUCUUCGGCAAUGGGGGGAACCCUGACCGAGCAACGCCGCGUGAGUGAAGAAGGUUUUCGGAUCGUAAAGCUCUGUUGUUAA
rnacentral:rRNA from 1 species